rnacentral:misc_RNA from 1 species
AGGCUCGCUAGCUUGGGCUCUCUUCUCCCGAGUAGAGUGUAAUUUUUCACUUGAUUAUGCAGCAUUAGGGAUAACAUUGAUCGAAUAUGCGGUUAAAUAACUAGGAUUGUAAUAUUCCAUCCUACCUAACCUGUCUUCAGGACCUACCUCUGACAUCACCUUUUCUUAGAAAAACAAUAAACAAUGACUUUCAACUAUUUGUAACAAAUUUCAAUAAUUGUCCCUAAACUUAU